rnacentral:piRNA from 1 species
UUGUGAGUUGAAUUUUGGAAC